AGCUGUAUUUAUUAACAAAACUAAAGAGUGGGUGGGGAAAAGGAGGAUGAAGAGGAUUCUGGAACUUGUUUCUCUAUGAGUUCUGUUCUUGGCCAGAAGCUGGCCUUCUGUGCCCAGCCCCCUUUCCAUCCCCAAGCCUGUCCAGGCACCUGCUAUGGGUCCUGGCAUCCCGAGGCAGGGCCAGGGAAGGGCCAGGGUGAGGCCAAGAGGGCGGGUGAGGACAGCCCAGCCCAGCUCCUCACUGCUGGGGAGCCUGGUGUGGGGGCAGGACUGCUCUUGGCAGCUAUGUUCUCCCUGGAUGGAGAGAAGGCCUGUGUGUCUAUGGGCAACUGUCUCCAGGAGAUGGAGAUGACAUCAGAAUAGCCGGAGCAGGUGUGAUCCAAGGUUCUGCAAGGAAAAGGAAGGAUGGUGUGGAGUGUGUUGCUGCAGGGAAGGCUUCCCAGUGGAGGUGGCUCCUGAGCUCUAGGAAAAGGGAAGUGAGUGUCCUUCCAGGCAGAGGGAACAGCAGGUGCAAAGGCCUGGGGGCUCGUCUAUAAGGCCCGCUGGAGUCACAAGCCCCAUCCCAGACUCUCCAACGCUGGACCUGCAGCGCCCAGCCCUGCCCUGGUGCUACCACCUGCCAGCUCUGUGCCUGCCCCUCCACUAGAUCAUGACUUCGGCUCCAGCUCCCUCACUCUCCAUGCCUCUCACUUGCGGGUUGUGCCCUGCUCAGCUGGCCAGACUUUGGCCCCCUCCCUACCUGGAUUUGUGAAGCCCCAAAUUUCAUCUCCCCCACCACACUUAUUCACAGCCUCCGCCUGCUGACAUACCCAGGCAAGACUCCCUUCCCCUCCAGGCAGCCAAACUUCAGUUCGAAUCUUCUGGCUCUUACCAGACCCCUGAUGAAUCCCAGGAUCUUCGCAGGUGGUCCCAGGGCCUCUUUGAACCACAGUUUUACUUAUCUGAAAAAUAAAAAGGCAUGAUUUAGAUGACUUCUGAGGACUCUCUUGCCUUUCCUACCCCAAAACACUAGCAAGG
rnacentral:lncRNA from 1 species